CUCACUGCACAGGUCUUUUUUUGCUGUGUUGAUGUAUCCUAAAUGGAGUGGGGGGAGAGAAGUAAAGAAAAGUUGGAGCUGGUGAGAGACAGGGACACCAGGGACUGAGACAACACCAGGAAAACGACUGGAUCAGGAAUCACCAAGAGCUGAUGCCACCGGGGCUCAAAAUGGACAGGACAGUGACGAGGACCACAACAAUGCAGGAGCGGGAUCAAGAGCAAUGUAAGGAGGAGGUCACGGGGAAAGAAGAGCAAGAUGUAAAAUAUGAAUAUACUGAGCCAUAUGUUCCCUUCUGCUUCUGCGAGUGAAAGAAAGCGAACAGCUGCAGAUCCUGACAAGAGGAUGGAUGCAGAGCAGGGAAUGUCAGCUCUAUGGCCUGCUUUCAAUGGUGACCCAGAAGCACCUUCUUAACCCUGUCAGCAUUAAUUUAUGCCAAUUCCACCGCUGUGACAUGACGCCCCCCCUCGCUCCUAGGAAGAGUUUCCAGGACAUCAAAAGGCAGAAAAUCUCCUCUGACACUGCUGUCAUUCUUGCCAGAUCUGCUUGUGGUUCCCUUUAAAUGAAUUUGCCAGGGCAGAGAGCAGGGAACAGGCAGCAAUGCUUGCUACUGAAGAGAAUCAUCUUCUAUAAGAUUUUCAUUAGGCGCUUAAUUUUUUCCCUGGCAUCCCAAGGAGCUGUAGGGAUGCAGAGCAAUAUACUUUGACUUGAGAAGAUUUGCAGCUGGUCAAGGAGAUCUGGAAAGAAGCUGUCUUUUGCAGCCAUAGAUAUUUGCAGCAGAGUGAAGAGGGGUUUGCACUCCUGAGGAUACUAAUAUUGUGCAUUAUUGUGUAACAGGGGUGUAUAUUUCUUCCUGACCGCAGCUGAUGAUUAACUUUUUUGCCUUGAAACAUGGUGAUUCCUAAUCCUUAUUAGUUUUACUUUAGCUUGUGAUGGUUUUGUGUUUUUUGUUUUUGUUUUGUAUGUGGACACCAAUCCAUUACGAAGUGAACUAAGUCCAUUCACGUUGGCCACCAAACUGUAGCUUUUCUAACGUGCUGAGAUCUACAAUGAUUUGACUUCCCCAAGUUUAUUUGAGUUUUUUUAAUUAAAAGUCUUUGCCUUUGUGCUCUGAUUCUACUGAAUACGAAAAAAGGCUCUGGGGGCUUGAUUCUUAUUUACAUGAAGGGCCCUAUACAACAUUCUGGCAGUAUAAAAGAGACCUUAGAGCAAAUGAGAAUCGGGGUCUUUGUAUUUAUGAAUUUUUUUAGCGAGCCUUUAUUUGUCUGAACUGAGAAAUUGUUGUUGAAACAAAGGAGUUGCUGCACUCAUUGGAAGUGAUUAUAUUCAGAUUUUAGUACCACAGAGAUCUCCACCUCACUGAGGCCCAAAUAGAUUUCAAAAUAUGCAACAAGAGCCCAAACAAGGAACACAACAAAAAAUAGAGACCAAAGCUUCUAUGAUGACCUGGAUAGCCCUUGACAGUUCUGCCCCUCUGGAACAAUGGAACUAUCAACCUGCAGGGUGAAGUUUGUAUGGGCUGGCGACAGGGAUUUCUCAGGGCCUACCCCACGACUGUGGAAUUCACUACUGUUGGACCAGAGAGCCUGAUUCACCAUUGCCCUGCACUUUUUGUAACUAUUUACACCAGUGCAAAUUUGGCUUAAAACACUAUCAUUCUGCUCUGGUACCAUUCUCACUUUGUACUCACUGCAGUCCUGUAAAUGACUACCUAUGGUGCUGGGUAAUGGUGAAUUAGACCCUAAAAGUAAACACAAACCUCAUUUCGUUCUGGUCCAAAUGUAAACCCCCCUUCUUUUAUCUAUCUAAAGUACUUGUAUGGCAUCCCUCACCAUAGUUUCCGAGCACCUCACAAUCUGUAACAUGUAACUCAA